rnacentral:lncRNA from 1 species
AAUGCGUCAUUUUUCACACAAACAAAGGUAAAACUUUAGGCCCUGGGCAUAUGUCAUAAGUUUAAAAGGAUACAAUUACUUCAGAAAAACAAAAUCUCUGAUCCUUUGGGAUUUUAUUUGUCCAGUGUUGCAAUGCAUGGAUUAUUGAUAUAGAAAAGAUGCUAACGUGCGAAUAUCUUAAUAACGUUACAGAGGACGACUAUGGUCGGCACAGUGCAUCAGGUGAUUACAUUUUAAGGAAAUCAGUUACAAUCAUAAUAAUGUCUCGCCAGAGGUAAACUGUUAUUGAAACUGUGAAUGAAAUGAAUAUGUUCAUAUAGAGAAUUGGAAAAAAGAUAUUUAAUUUCACUAGGAUGAAAACGUGAAACUCGUACUUAUACAAAGACAAACUAAUUUGAAUAAAUAUGAUUCAAUUUUGAUGACAUCCAAUUAAAUCACAAUUUUUAUAUGUUUCGAAAAAAAUGUAUCUGUAAAGUAUUUUAAACCAAUGUUUAUGUUUUAUUUUCUAGGAUCUUAGUAUAAAUAAACACAGUAAUUGAAGAACAAGAUAUGAACAACGUAACUUGCUCAAAUACCACAAUUGACAAAUUAGUUACAGAAGACAUAGUGUUGAUUAUAUUUCUUUCUUGUUUUCCUUGUAUAACUAUUGCGGGAAAUAUUCUAGUUAUCUUUACUGUACUAAAACGUCAUAAAUUUAGACAAAAGGCC